GGGAAGGUGGCUCAGUAGUAGAGUGUUUGCCUCGAAUGCAUGAGGCCCUGGGUUCGAUUCCCCUACACCA
rnacentral:tRNA from 1 species